rnacentral:rRNA from 1 species
CAUCGCUCUCCGACAAAAAAAAAUGAAGAGUCGAACCUGCCCAGUGAAAUUUUUAACGGCCGCGGUACUCUGACCGUGCAAAGGUAGCAUAAUCAUUUGCCUUAUAAUUGAAGGCUAGUAUGAAUGGUCUGACGAGAGCAACACUGUCUCCUUUUUAUUUUUUAGAAUUUAACCUUUAGGUGAAGAGGCCUAUAUUUCAUUGAAGGACAAGAAGACCCUGUCGAGCUUAAAAAAUAAACUAGAAACACACAUUAUGUUUUCAAAUAAAACUCUACUAUCCUUUUUGGUUGGGGCGACCAAGGAACAAAAAAAGCUUCCUUUUAUACUUUUAACUUAUAAGUUCCGAUCCAGCUAAAGCUGAUUAAAAGAAUUAGUUACCGCAGGGAUAACAGCAUAAUCUCUCUUAAGAGACCAAAUCGAAAGAGGGGGUUGUGACCUCGAUGUUGGACUAGAAUAUCCUAAAGAUGCAGAAGUCUUUAAGGGUUGGUCUGUUCGACCAUUAAAAUUCUAC